UACGGAAGGGGCAAGCGUUGUUCGGAAUCAUUGGGAGUAAAGGGCGCGCAGGUGGCUCUGUAUGUCUGCCGUGAAAGCAUACAGCUCAACUGUAUUGUGUCGGUAGAAACUGCAGGACUUGAGGCUGGGAGGGGCUGGUGGAAUUCCCUGUGUAGCGGUGAAAUGCGUAGAGAUGGGGGAGAACACUCGUGGCGAAGGCGGCCAGCUAGACCAGUUCUGACACUGAGGCGCGACAGCGUGGGGAGCAAACAGA
rnacentral:rRNA from 1 species